UACGAAGGUGGCUAGCGUUGUUCGGAUUUAUUGGGCGUAAAGGGUCCGCAGGCGGUUUGAUAAGUCAGGUGUGAAAUCCCACAGCUUAACUGUGGACACGCAUUUGAUACUGCUAGACUAGAGUAUGAGAGGGGUAAGAGGAAUUUCCAGUGUAGGGGUGAAAUCCGUAGAUAUUGGAAAGAACACCGGCCGCGAAGGCGUUUUACUGGCUCAUUACUGACGCUCAGGGACGAAAGCUAGGGGAGCAAACGGG
rnacentral:rRNA from 1 species